UACGGGGGGGGCAAGCGUUGUUCGGAAUUACUGGGCGUAAAGGGCUCGUAGGUGGCCAACUAAGUCAGACGUGAAAUCCCUCGGCUUAACCGGGGAACUGCGUCUGAUACUGGAUGGCUUGAGUGUGGGAGAGGGAUGCGGAAUUCCAGGUGUAGCGGUGAAAUGCGUAGAUAUCGGAAGGAACACCGGUGGCGAAAGCGGCGCGCUGGACCUCUUCUGACGCUGAGGCGCGAAAGCCAGGGGAGCAAACGGG
rnacentral:rRNA from 1 species